rnacentral:sRNA from 1 species
AUUUAAAUGCCUAUGUGUACCUACGGAUCACGAACAGUCGGCGAAGGCGGGCAGAUCGAAGAUGGCCACACAAUACAUAUACUCGUACGUGAGUCAAGAUAAUUUUCGGUGCCAGUGCUGUUAACCUAGAUAUUUUUACGCUAACAUGCGAUAAAGUGCCUUUCCUUCAGUUUGUGUCUCUCAUGCGGGUAAAUUUUUGUCCUCGGCUUCACGAUAUUAUUUUUAAGCAAAAAACGCAAAAGCUAUUGGCAACGCGUAUCUAUAUAUACACUCUCGGAUUCAAUCUUGAUUUUGGCUAUCUCCUUUCCAUUUGUGGUUUUUGAGAGGCUUGCGUAGCCUUAUGAAUUAAACCAUUUACCGAUUAUAUUGAAUAUGGAAUAUCCAUAUAUGUAUAUGUGUAUACAUUAAAAUAUAAACAUGUAUUUUUACGUUGGAUUUAUCUAUUAUUGCCUUGCCCUUGCGAAGAGCAUUCUUAAUCAAAACAUACAUAACUGUUUUAUAUUCUAUCAAGACUGUUUUGGUAAGGUUCCAAAGUCCUUCUUUUUUCCAAUGUUAUUGGUAUAUUUAGUAUACUAGUUAGAAUAAAUAUUAUAUAAUAUUCAUAGAGUAGUAUACUCUAUAAUCUAAGAGCAAAAAUGGAUACUAAGUCAAAAAUUAAAAAGUUCCCAACCCCAUUAAGUAUGUGGUAAUAGCAAUGUUGAUGCUUAAAUAAAUGUUUCUUCUGACAGCGCUUAAACACUUGUUUAUAACUUUUAAAAUUAAUAUUUUGAUUGCCACACUUCGCCCCUUGGUUCUGUAUUCAACAACACUGUCUCGAACCAAAUUUGCUUUUAUAGUUUCCGAGACGAGAGAACGUACGGACAUAACUAGAUUGAUUCGGCUAGGGUCAAUCAAUUCCAUUUAUCUGAUAUACAGCUUUAAUCUAAAAGACAUUUUGCGGUCUAUAAAGCAUGUGGCCCAUCAUUUAAGGAGUUGGUGUUUUUGAAGAAAUAAACUCUAUAUAUAUGUAAUCCCAAAAAGACGUAUUUUGGAAACCUCCAAGGGUUUUGUAAUUUGUGAUCGUUAGAACUCUUUAGUCAUGCCGUGUACCCAAUGACUUUAUUAUCCUCUUCUCUUUGGUUCAGUAAAAAUUUUAAAGGCUU